GAGGUGGUGGCUCAGUGGUAGAGCACUUGCCUAGCAUGCGUGAGGCACUGGGUUCGAUUCUCAUCACCACA
rnacentral:tRNA from 1 species